CCUAAAGACUAUUUACAAGGUAAUAAAACGGUUAUAUAAAUGUGAAUACGUGUGUAGACUUGUCUCGAAAUGAAAAUCUCACGCCAACCAGCUGACCAAAGUUGGCAACCCUGCGUAAGUCGGCCCUUUAUUUUAUAUGCAAACAUGAUCAUAUGCAGGGGGCACAUACCUGGUGUGAAAGUACUUAUUCGCCGUUUAAACCGAUACGCGCGGUAAUGUCUUGUAGCAGCGCAAAUACGUGUUUAUUUUAUGUACAUUCGCAAUGUUAUGACAAGAAAUCAUUGUGCAUUUUAGCCUUCAUGCCGCAGACGAAGUACAAAUUAGCCACAUAAAUGUUAAGAUGCAGGGUAAUUUCUUUUCAUAACAGCGUGAAUGCACAUAAAAUAAAUGGUACGCAUUUGCGCUGCUACAACAAGGAGUUGCCGCGAGUGUACAGGGAAUGCGUACUUGCGCACCAUGCAGUUAUGUGAUCCUGAUCAUAUGUAUAGUAUAUUGUACAAUAAAUGCUAUGACAUUUAAGUUGUAUUGUUGGAUCUUUUUUAAUCAUAAUUUUCUUCGUUCAUUCCUGCCGACAGUUGGGGCAGAGACUGUCAUAUGCUCUGGGUAACACUCACAGCCAGACGCGGCCUAACAGUAAAACAUUUAGAAAUGUGACAAAAGGUCUUCUGUUUGUCCAUUUAUUCCUACAUAGAGUUUUAAUCCCGUUUACAUGAAAAGCUGUACUUUUUGUGUCCCUGACAAUUCCAAAUUUCUUUUUGCAGCAAACUGACAAACAGAAUAAGUCCAGGAUACUGGAAAAUACUUGAAAAACAUGGUAAAGUGGAUUUCAGCAUUUUCUGUCGUCACAUUUGUAUUAGAAUUGUAACAAAUGUCUUCGUUAGUACUAUAUUGUAUUUCGCAGGAUGUUCCUUGACAGAUUGGUUCUGUGGACUGUGGUGCGUUCAUGUUGAUUGUUGUCACGUCACGGAUCGGGGAAGCAGGAGCAGGAAGACGGAGAAUCGGGAAACAAAGGAUUUAUUGGGGAAACCAGCUAGGAACACGGGGCAAUAGAAGUAGCGACUUAAAUGACAUGAUUGGGGAAACAUAUUUUGAAGCGGAGUUAAAUACAUAGGACUAAUGAAAACAACUGGAAACAGCGAAUGACAUCGGGGUUCCACACGAGGUUAACGAGGGGGCGUGGCACACGGGAGGAGCGGACAAGCGGCGCAUGACAAUUUGAGUUGCAGGGAUUUGACAAAAACAUCCUUUUAGAAAUGCGUGAGGAAGGUCAAGACUCUGGUCUCCAGCUCACCGCUCUCUCUUACAUUUCCAUGGC